GGUCAAGCGAACAAGUGCAUGUGGUGGAUGCCUUGGCGAUCACAGGCGAUGAAGGACGCGGUAGCCUGCGAAAAGCCCCGGGGAGCUGGCAAACAAGCUUUGAUCCGGGGAUGUCCGAAUGGGGAAACCCACUCCUUUUGGAGUAUCCAUGACUGAAUACAUAGGUCAUGUGAAGCGAACGCGGUGAACUGAAACAUCUAAGUAACCGCAGGAAAAGAAAUCAACCGAGAUUCCCAAAGUAGUGGCGAGCGAAAUGGGAUGAGCCUUGUACUCUUUAUUUGUAUUGUUAGCCGAACGCUCUGGAAAGUGCGGCCAUAGCAGGUGAUAGCCCUGUAGGCGAAAACAGUAUGAAAGAACUAGGUGUACGACAAGUAGGGCGGGACACGUGAAAUCCUGUCUGAAGAUGGGGGGACCAUCCUCCAAGGCUAAAUACUCGUGAUCGACCGAUAGUGAACCAGUACCGUGAGGGAAAGGCGAAAAGAACCCCGGGAGGGGAGUGAAAUAGAUCCUGAAACCGCAUGCAUACAAACAGUCGGAGCCUCUUUAUGGGGUGACGGCGUACCUUUUGUAUAAUGGGUCAGCGACUUACGUUCAGUAGCAAGCUUAACCGUAUAGGGCAGGCGUAGCGAAAGCGAGUCCGAAUAGGGCGUUCAGUUGCUGGGCGUAGACCCGAA
rnacentral:rRNA from 1 species